GACGAACGCUGGCGGCGUGCUUAACACAUGCAAGUCGAACGGAAAGGCCCUGCUUUUGUGGGGUGCUCGAGUGGCGAACGGGUGAGUAAAACGUGAGUAACCUGCCCUUGACUUUGGGAUAACUUCAGGAAACUGGGGCUAAUACCGGAUAGGAGCUCCUGCUGCAUGGUGGGGGUUGGAAAGUUUCGGCGGUUGGGGAUGGACUCGCGGCUUAUCAGCUUGUUGGUGGGGUAGUGGAUUACCAAGGCUUUGACGGGUAGCCGGCCUGAGAGGGUGACCGGCCACAUGGGGACUGAGAUACGGCCCAGACUCCUACGGGAGGCAGCAGUGGGGAAUAUUGCACAAUGGGCGGAAGCCUGAUGCAGCAACGCCGCGUGCGGGAUGACGGCUUUCGGGUUGUAAACCGCUUUCGCCUGUGACGAAGCGUGAGUGACGGUAAUGGGUAAAGAAGCACCGGCUAACUACGUG
rnacentral:rRNA from 1 species